rnacentral:rRNA from 1 species
UACGUAGGGUGCGAGCGUUAAUCGGAAUUACUGGGCGUAAAGCGUGCGCAGGCGGUUGGUUAAGUCUGAUGUGAAAGCCCCGGGCUCAACCUGGGAAUGUCAUUGGAAACUGGCUGGCUAGAGUGUGGCAGAGGGGGGUGGAAUUCCGCGUGUAGCAGUGAAAUGCGUAGAGAUGCGGAGGAACACCGAUGGCGAAGGCAGCCCCCCUGGGCUGACACUGACGCUCAGGCACGAAAGCGUGGGGAGCAAACAGG